rnacentral:rRNA from 1 species
UACGUAGGUGGCAAGCGUUGUCCGGAUUUAUUGGGCGUAAAGAGCUCGUAGGCGGCUUGUUGCGUCAGCUGUGAAAAACCCGCAGCUCAACUGUGGGCUUGCAGCUGAUACGGGCAGGCUAGAGUCGGCAGGGGAGACUGGAAUUCCUGGUGUAGCGGUGAAAUGCGCAGAUAUCAGGAGGAACACCAGUGGCGAAGGCG